rnacentral:rRNA from 1 species
UUUUUUUUUGGUGGAAAUUGUUGUCUGGCUAGAGCGACGCUGGCGGCGUGCUUAACACAUGCAAGUCGAGUGCGCGCCUGUAGCAAUACAGGUGGCGCACGGCGCACGGGUGCGUAACACGUGGGCAAUCCGCCCUCGGAUGGGGGAUAACUCGCCGAAAGGCGAGCUAAUACCGCAUGACAUUCCUGGGACUCCGGUCCCGGGACUCAAAGGCCGCAAGGCCGUCUGAGGAGGAGCCCGCGCCCGAUUAGCUAGUUGGUGAGGUAACGGCUCACCAAGGCUUUGAUCGGUAGCCGGUCUGAGAGGAUGGCCGGCCACACUGGAACUGAGACACGGUCCAGACUCCUACGGGAGGCAGCAGUGGGGAAUAUUGCGCAAUGGGCGAAAGCCUGACGCAGCGACGCCGCGUGGGGGAUGAAGCUUCUCGGAGUGUAAACCCCUUUCGACCCGGACGAAUGACCCGCAAGGGUUUGACGGUACGGGUAUAAGAAGCCCCGGCUAACUACGUGCCAGCAGCCGCGGUAAUACGUAGGGGGCCAGCGUUGCUCGGAAUUACUGGGCGUAAAGGGUUCGUAGGUGGUGCGGCAAGUUGGAAGUGAAAUCUCUGGGCUUAACUCAGAGGCUGCUUUCAAAACUGCCGUGCUCGAGUGCGGGAGAGGCCAGUGGAAUUGCAGGUGUAGCGGUGAAAUGCGUAGAUAUCUGCAGGAACACCCGUGGCGAAGGCGGCUGGCUGGACCGCAACUGACACUGAGGAACGAAAGCUAGGGGAGCAAACAGGAUUAGAUACCCUGGUAGUCCUAGCCCUAAACAUCAGAACUUGGGGUGGCCGCGUAGGCGGGUCGUCCCGUAGCUAACGCGUUAAGUUCUGCGCCUGGGGGAGUACGGUCCGCAAGACUGAAACUCAAAGGAU